GCCUCGUUGGCACAGUCGGCAUUGCGUCAGUCUCAUAAUCUGAAGGUCGUGAGUUCGAGCCUCACAAGAGGCA
rfam:Strongylocentrotus purpuratus Contig7351_fixed, whole genome shotgun sequence.